UUCCGGUUGAUCCCGCCGGACCUGACUGCUAUCGGAUUGGUACUAAGCCAUGCGAGUCAUUGUAGCAAUACAAGGCGGACGGCUCAGUAACACGUAGUCAACCUAACUCGUGGACGUGGAUAACCUCGGGAAACUGAGAAUAAACCACGAUAGAUCAUAGUGCCUGGAAUGGCUUAUGGUCCAAACAGUUUACUGCCAUGGGAUGGGACUGCGGCCUAUCAGCUUGUUGGUGAGGUAAUGGCCCACCAAGGCGAUUACAGGUACGGGCUCUGAGAGGAGAAGCCCGGAGAUGGGUACUGAGACACGGACCCAGGCCCUAUGGGGCGCAGCAGGCGAGAAACCUUAGCAAUGUGCGAAAGCACGACUGGGUCAGUCCGAGUGAUUCCUGAUAAAGGAGUCUUUUGCUUGUCCUAAAAGCACAGGUGAAUAAGGGGUGGGCAAGUCUGGUGUCAGCCGCCGCGGUAAUACCAGCACCUCGAGUGGUCAGGACGUUUAUUGGGCCUAAAGCAUCCGUAGCCGGCUCUGCAAGUCUUCGGUUAAAUCCACCUGCUCAACAGAUGGGCUGCUGGAGAUACUACAGAGCUAGGGAGUGGGAGAGGCAGACGGUAUUCAGUGGGUAGGGGUAAAAUCCUCUGAUCCAUUGAGGA
rnacentral:rRNA from 1 species